rnacentral:rRNA from 1 species
AGGUGUGGAUAGGGGAGAAAUUCCAAUCGAACCCGGAGAUAGCUGGUUCUCCUCGAAAUAGCUUUAGGGCUAGCCUCAUAUAAGUCUUGCGGAGGUAGAGCACUGAAUUUCCUAGGGGGCGUCAAAGCUUACCGAAGAAUAUCAAACUCCGAAUGCCGUGUAGAUGUUGUAUGGGAGUCAGACUGUACGAGAUAAGUUGGACAGUCAAAAGGGAAAGAGCCCAGACCUGCAGCUAAGGCCCCAAAAUGUGUGUUAAGUGGAAAAGGAUGUGGGAUUUCAAAGACAACUAGGAUGUUGGCUUAGAAGCAGCCAUACAUUCAAAGAGUGCGUAAUAGCUCACUAGUCGAGAGGUCCUGCGCCGAAAAUGUCCGGGGCUGAAACACACUGCCGAAGCUCAGGAAUGAUCCUAGAUCAUUGGUAGAGGAGCAUUGUAUACGGGACGAAGCAGUACCGAUAAGGAGCUGUGGACUGUAUAGAAGAGAGAAUGCCGGAAUGAGUAGCGAGAGGAAGGUGAGAAUCCUUCCGGCCGAAUAUCUAAGGUUUCCAGAGUAAAGCUGAUCUGCUCUGGGUAAGUCGGGGCCUAAGGCCAGGUCGAAAGACGUAACCGAUGGACAACAGGUUGAAAUUCCUGUACCUUAAGUAAACAGAACUGUGGGGACACGUGUGGAGAGCACAAGCCGGAAAUGGAAAAGCCGGUGCAAGCGAGGUAGGAGUACAGUAGGCAAAUCCGCUGUACAAUCCGAAGACGUGAUGCGGACCGAAUUAAGAGUAGGGAAGUGUGUGAGCCAUGCGUCAAGAAAAGCCGCUAUUGUUUUACUUAAGCCCGUACCGUAAACCGACACAGGUGGAUGAGGAGAGAAUCCUAAGGCCGACGGGAGAAGCAUUGUUAAGGAACUCGGCAAAAUGACUCCGUAACUUCGGGAGAAGGAGUGCCAGCGAGAGCUGGCCGCAGAGAAUUGGCCCAAGCAACUGUUUAGCAAAAACACAGGUCUAUGCAAAACCGUAAGGUGAAGUAUAUGGGCUGACGCCUGCCCGGUGCUGGAAGGUUAAGAGGAGAGGUUAGCGGCAACGCGAAGCUUUGAAUUUAAGCCCCAGUAAACGGCGGCCGUAACUAUAACGGUCCUAAGGUAGCGAAAUUCCUUGUCGG